GUGAGUCAUCGAAUCUUUGAACGCACCUUGCGCUCCUUGGUAUUCCGAGGAGCAUGCCUGUUUGAGUGUCAUGAAACUCUCAAACCCAAGUUUUGGAUUUCGAUCCAUGCUUGAGUUUGGAUUUGGAUGUUUGCCGGUGAUAAGCCGACUCAUCUUAAAAGUAUUAGCUAGAUCUGUCUCUAUGACUGGUUUGACUUGGCAUAAUAAGUAUUUUGCUGAGGACAUCUUCGGAUGGCCAGGACCUAGACUAUUGUCUGCUAACUAAACCAUCACUUUAAGUGCAUCUUCGGAUGUUACUCAUUGUGUAACUUUGACAUCUGGCCUCAAAUCAGGUAGGACUACCCGCUGAACUUAA
rnacentral:rRNA from 1 species